UGGGGAAUAUUGGACAAUGGGGGGAACCCUGAUCCAGCGAUGCCGCGUGUGUGAAGAAGGCCUGAGGGUUGUAAAGCACUUUCAGUGGGGAGGAGGUCAUUAAGGUUAAGAGCUGUAGUGAUGGACGUUACCCACAGAAGAAGCACCGGCUAACUCCGUGCCAGCAGCCGCGGUAAUACGGAGGGUGCGAGCGUUAAUCGGAAUUACUGGGCGUAAAGGGUGCGUAGGUGGUUUGAUAAGUUAUCUGUGAAAUUCCUGGGCUCAACCUGGGGUGGUCAGAUGAUACUGUUAGACUGGAGUAUGGGAGAGGGUGGAAGAAUUUCCGGUGUAGCGGUGAAAUGCGUAGAGAUCGGAAGGAACACCGGUGGCGAAGGCGUCCACCUGGCCUGAUACUGACACUGAGGCACGAAAGCGUGGGGAGCAAACAGGAUUAGAUACCCCGGUAGUCC
rnacentral:rRNA from 1 species